CAGGACCUGUGGUUCACAAUCAAAAAGAACAUAACAGAAAAAAUUUGAAUUCUGAUGCUUUAUUUCCCGCUACACAAAGCAGAAUGAUGGCAAGCUCAGGUGACUUCAGGAAGAGGUUACCCCUAGAUAUCAGAAAACACACUGAAUAGGGCUUCUUACAUUAAAUUCUGUUGCCACGGAAGUCAAAGACAGACUUAAUGCUACCUUCAAGGGAGCCAGAAAGUCAGUAUUUGUCUGGUGCACUGCAGACAAGUGGGAAGUAAAUCAGAGUCACAUACACAAACACAAAUGUUGGUGUGUGGUAAGCAAUGGUCCUGGUGUGCAAGUUGGC